CUGAUAGCAGCUUUGGCACCACAUAUGCUAAACUGGAGUGAUAUAGAGAAGAUUAGAUUGGCCCCUGUGCAAGGGUGCCAUGAAAACUAAUUUUGAGAAUUUUA
ensembl:snRNA U6 U6 spliceosomal RNA